rfam:Sphingobium ummariense RL-3 contig026, whole genome shotgun sequence.
GGCGUAUUUUGCCCAGGCGGAACUCGACCGCCCGUUCAAGCGAUGAUCGCGUUCAUCGACGAUCACCGCGAUGCCUAUGGGGUCGAGCCGAUCUGCCGCGUCCUCCCGAUCGCCCCA